CCAGCUGGGACCAAGCUACCUCUGCCCUGCCCUAGCUGCAGGAGGGCAACCAGACCCAGCUUUUCUGUAUCACAUCUGGGUGCCUGACCCAAUUCUGUGCUCCUUGGAGAACCCAGCAGGUGUUACCUUGGAUCCCGAGGAGGCUGAUUAUAGAGGUACCACUCAAAAUGCUCAGAGGAAGAUUUUUUAAAUAUGGGCAGAUGCACCAAACGCUUCCUAGCUCAGCAUUGUGCAAGCAGCAACUUCUUUGAGGACCUGGUUCUUCCUGAGCUGUUGGGGCUAAGUGAUAGUGACACAACUUUCCACAGCACUGUGGAAAAACAAGUGAAGAGGCCAAAUCCUGCCCUCUGCAUGUGUAUGUGUAUCUGGAGUCAUGUCAUGGAAAAGGAGAUUACUUCUGGUAAACAGAAGGAACUGAUGCUUUUUGCAAGCAUAACAUCUUUUCAUGUCAAACAGAAUUCCUGCAGAUAUUUGAGAUUUUAUGUGAUCCAAAUCAGCAUCAAUCCAAAAUAGAAGACACAUCCAAUGGUGGAGCAGCCAAUGUUCUUGAUAUUAGAAGAAAGUAGAAAAUUUUCAAGGAACUGAGAGCCAGAAAGCUAAACCUGGGAAGAAUGCUCCAGAGAAGCUUUGCCAGGUGGGAGGCACCAGCAGUGCUCUGAAGCAACCACCUACUUCUUCAAGGAUGGGGAUGAACCAGUGAACCAAGUCAGUGCUCCCCAUUAGAUUGCUCCAUCGUCUCACUGGUUAUGUGGAUUACUGCAAGGCUGCAACCACUGUAACACUGCUGCUGUGGUAUGAUAUAGUCUGCAUGCCUGGGCCACACCUAAAUUCAUCCAGUUGAUUUCCUUAUCAAAGUUUGCCCUUUUAGUUCCAAGCAAAAUAAAAUAGAGAUUCACUUUAGCUUUGUAAUUUAACAACAGGGCUUGAACCUUAUCUUUUUUUGUCAAAAAUACUUCUAAAGGUAAUGACAUUUCAGUUGUUCUUCUGAAGCACUUUGCGUCCAUAAGAGCCAGCUGAAACUAUGAUAUUCAGUGCUUGUGCAUGUACGUGUGUAUGCACAGAGCUUACAGUAACAAUAAGAAAUUAGAUAUAGUGAGUUAGGUUUUAGUUACCCUUGAAUGGAGAAUUGGAGAUAAAAACAAUAGCAAAGCUGCCAUUCUCAAGUGUUUGCUUUUGUUCAAAAGCUAGGAAAUCAACCCGGAGUCAAAAGUUUAAAUAAAAAAGAGAUUCUAUCUAUUUGGAUUCCAGCUUUAAAAUAUGGAACUGUACAUUUCCAAGUUUUUUCCAGCAACAUUGAGAGUGGUAUGUCAAAUACAUUUUUUUUUUUUUUAAUAAUUGUAUUUCUGUGAAAGGAAUUUCUUCUAGGAUAUCUGAUGUACCCUACCCAGGUCCUUGGUGGCAAAUCCCUUGUCUUUUUUCUACAUUGCACCUCUGGGUCAUCGACAAACUUGUUUCUAUAUUAAAAAAAAAAAAAAUGACUGGAAUUUGGAGUUAUGUUCAUUAUAGGUUAUUUCUCGCUUACUGUGAAGUUAGAAUUUGCUUAUAGUCAAAAAGUGGAGAUGUUUUAUCUUCUACUGGAAUAGUAAGACUACAGUUUUAAAAUAAAUAAUAAAACUUAACUUGGUUACACUCAGGGAAAAAAUAUUCGUGAUGAAACUAUUCAUACAGUUUUAUCCCAUAAACAUUGUUUUCUAUUUAGCUCAAUUAUUUAAAGGGCUGCCUAGGGAGGUGGUGGAGACCCCAUCCCUGGAGGUAUUUGAAAUAUGUGUGGAUGCCACACUAAAGUUUAGUGAUGGGACUCAAUCAAGUUAGUGGUUGGACUUGACAAUCCUGAAUGUCUUUUCCAGCCUAAAUAGUUCUGUGAUUCUGUGAUUUAACUACACUUUACGGGGUGUAAAUGUUCAACAGAAGUGAAGCUGGGGUGAGGGUGUUCAAUAGGAUUAUUUAUUAAGGAUGACCUUCACCUGGAGUUGCAGGGCUAAAUUUAGUGAGCCUGCAGACAAAGAUUGUACUAUCUCAGAAACAUUCUUUGUCCUUUAGAGGUAAAAAAUAGUCAGUCCGUACAAUAAUUCAUAAUCUAUGAUGUUGUAACCUCUGAAUAAUAUUGUCUUAUAGUACUCUAGAUGAUAGUCACAGAUGAGCUUCUGAGCUGAAACAGUUACCUGGACAUAGCCAGUAAUGCCUCAGUUAACUGUAUUCUUAAAUUAAACUUGACUAUGUACAAAAUAACAGAAAAAUCUUUAAAAAGUUAAAUAACUACUACCAUCUAAUGUUUAUAUGUUGUUAUAGUGGUUAAUAAUGCUUUCCAAUAAUGUAUGCGCAAGUCUGUCUUUUCAGUAAUAACUAGAUUGCAAGAAUAACGGAUGUAGGAACUUUCAUAACCCGAUGAGUCCAUUAUGGAAUUAUAUCAUUAACUCACGUGCAAAACUAAUCAUAUGAAGAAUGUUUAUGCUGCAGUUGUUUGAGAAGAACAAUGAAUCAUUGGACCUGUGGUAUUUCUCCUUUGACUGCAAGGACAACACUCUGCAGUUGUACUGAAGUAGAUUCUUGUUCUGAUCAUAGGUCAUAGCUCUGCUUCGCCAGCAUCAGCUGAUGACUUCACCGACACCCAAACCAGAGCAAGGAACUGCUGAACGCACCAGCUGCUAAUAUCAUCAGCAGUGGGGAGCCUGCGACUCCUGCUGUCUUCACCUCUUGUUAAAAGCCCAAAGUCAAUUCAGAAGAAAUGUUGCUAAAGAGUGUGAACAGGUGAGAGGGUAGCCAUUUAAGUUGCUUACUUUAAAACUGUAGUAGAAGAUAUCACGUCUUCUGAAGGAACAAAAUGUGAAAUGAACAGUCAUAUAAUUUAAAUCAGUGGCUAGGCUUUCAGUUAUAAAGAACUUAGCAACACAUCUUGCCCCAAAUUAUUGUGAUUACAUCAUGUGUGUUUGUUAGAAAAACAUUCAGCCCACAUUUCUAAAGUUUAUCGGGUUAUUUAUUUAAAGUGUUUCUCUUGCAAAUAAAUUUUGGAAAACAACAGUGCAAGGCUCAUCUUGCUUUAAAAAGACUUUCAGUAACUUUGCUCUUCUUACUCAAAACCUUUGUUCUUAUCCAUCAUUUAUUUAAUGAGACAAUCUUUUUUUUUAUAUGGACCAUUCUUGGAACUAUUGUUCAUUUAUCUUUGUCUGAAAAGCUAAGUGCCUACAAAAGCAGCCUUCACUCAUGCAGACAGGAUGUCAGCAUCUCUCUUGACUGCUUGACCUAGACUACCAUUUCCCACAUGGGGUGGAGCGCCCCAAGGAGGCCGUGUUCUUGGCCCACCCCAGCGUGAGGAAGGACGGUUUGGGGCAGAUCCUGAUGUCAUUCUGGUUCACAUCUGUGGAAAAUGGCAAAUACAGAGUAAUCGCUUCACUAUGAGGAUUUUGUAAGGCUGCCAAUGAACUACUUAUGUGUCGUCUGGAAGACUCUGA